rnacentral:rRNA from 1 species
CANGANGNUCCCGNAGUCGUUAUCCNGGAUUUAUUGGGCGUAAAGCGUCUGUAGUUGGUUUGAAUAGUCAGAUGACAAAUCCCGAUGCUUAACAUCGGAUCCUCAUUUGAAACGUUUAGACUAGAGCGCGUAAGAGGCAGAUGGAACUUACAGUGUAGGAGUGAAAUCCGUUGAUAUUGUAGGGAACACCAAAGGCGAAGGCAUUCUGCUGGGACGCCGCUGACAAUGAGAGACGAAAGCGUGGGUAGCGAAUGGGAUUAGAUACCCCAGUAGUCCACGCCCUAAACGAUGAAUACUAGCUGCUUGGGGAUUCGACCCUCUGAGUGGCGAAGCUAACGCGUUAAGUAUUCCGCCUGGGAAGUACGGUCGCAAGACUAAAACUCGAAGGAAUAGACGGGGACCCGCACAAGCGGUGGAUCAUGCGGUUUAAUUCGUAGUUACGCGAGGAACCUUACCGAGGCUAGAAACUAAGUUGAAAGCUUUCCGAAAGGUUAGCCCCCGCAAGGCAAUUUAGCAGGUGCUGCAUGGUUGUCGUCAGCUCGUGCCGUGAGGUGUUCGGUUAAGUCCGGAAACGAGCGCAACCCUUAUCGUAUGUUAUAUUUUUCAUGCGAGACUGCCCUGGUUAACAGGGAGGAAGGCGGGGAUGACGUCAAAUCAGCAUGGCCCUUGACGCCUCGGGCGACACGCAUGAUACAAUGGCUGGU